CGAGCGCCAGGAACGACUCGAGACUUCUAGUGUACGCUGCGCCAGAUAUUUGAUGGCAGGUUGCACCAUGACCCUAUUUCUAUAAAUUUUUAAAAUUAGCCUGGCAUGGCAUAAUACCAGAACUGAAGGGGGAGAGUCCGGAGGAUUCGGAAAGUUGAGGAUAGAUGGAUCUGUGAGGAUCUCACCUAGUUAGUUGUCCAAGUGGCUCAGUCUAUAGUCCUCUCAGGCUUGCAUUUUCAAAUCUUCCUGCCCAGUGACAGUCUUCCUCCAACAAGGCCACACACCUCCUAAUGGUGCCACUCCCUAAGGGCUUAUGGAGGCCAUGCUCGUUCAAACCAGCUUAGUGCUGCUCAGAGGGUGAGUUUUGUACAUCUUCCCAGGAAGUUUUGUAAAGUGUGUGUUCCAACUGACUUCUUCCAAAUUAAGUAAGUUAAGUGUGUGUGCACACUGGGCCCGGCAUGCACGUGGGCGUGAGGACAACCUGGGAGGCAGCUCUUGCCAUGCUCGUUCAAACCAGCUUAGUGCUGCUCAGAGGGUUUUAAGAAGGAUGAUGUUGGGAAGCUCCACCCAGUCCCGCUCCUCCCAUUCCAGACCCCGCCCCUGAGGAAGCCUGCCACCGUGGGCUCCUCCCCCUGAGAUGCUCAAGACCAGCCUACGGGCUAUUUAAG
rnacentral:lncRNA from 1 species